rnacentral:lncRNA from 1 species
GACGUUUCGAACAAGCGUCAAGUCGGUAACUCCACGUGGAAAUCAAUUCGAACUCUUCAGUUGUUCUUCAGGUGCUUCUCUAGAACUUUCUCUCUGAAAUUCAACCUCCCCAAAUGAUUGGAAAUGGCCCUAUGUUUAUAGGAUUUCUUAUGGGGGUAAUUGUGAAGAAUGCAAAAAUACAAAAUCACCCAUAAGGGAUUCACGAU